rnacentral:snoRNA from 1 species
UGCAAUGAUGAGUGAUGGGCGAUCUGAAAAGUGAUGAAGGUAAGGUGAUCGCUGAGC